rnacentral:rRNA from 1 species
UACGAAGGGGGCUAGCGUUGCUCGGAAUCACUGGGCGUAAAGCGCACGUAGGCGGACUCUUAAGUCAGGGGUGAAAUCCUGGAGCUCAACUCCAGAACUGCCUUUGAUACUGGGAGUCUUGAGUCCGGAAGAGGUAAGUGGAACUGCGAGUGUAGAGGUGAAAUUCGUAGAUAUUCGCAAGAACACCAGUGGCGAAGGCGGCAUCCUGGACCGGCAUUGACGCUGAGGAGCGAAAGCUAGGGGAGCAAACGGG